CCUACGGGAGGCAGCAGUGGGGAAUAUUGGACAAUGGGCGCAAGCCUGAUCCAGCAAUGCCGCGUGAGUGAAGAAGGCCUUAGGGUUGUAAAGCUCUUUCGCCUGCGACGAUGAUGACGGUAGCAGGAGAAGAAGCCCCGGCUAAUUCCGUGCCAGCAGCCGCGGUAAUACGGAAGGGGCUAGCGUUGUUCGGAAUCACUGGGCGUAAAGCGCGCGUAGGCGGCUUGGCAAGUGAGGCGUGAAAGUCCUGGGCUCAACCUGGGGACGGCGCUUCAGACUGCUGGGCUUGAGUCCGGAAGAGGGUGGUGGAAUUCCGAGUGUAGAGGUGAAAUUCGUAGAUAUUCGGAGGAACACCGGCGGCGAAGGCGGCCACCUGGUCCGGAACUGACGCUCAAGUGCGAAAGCGUGGGGAGCAAACAGGAUUAGAUACCCUGGUAGUCCACGCCGUAAACGAUGGGUGCUGGAUGUCGGGGGGCUUGCCCCUCGGUGUCGUAGCUAACGCGUUAAGCACCCCGCCUGGGGAGUACGGCCGCAAGGUUAAAACUCAAAGGAAUUGACGG
rnacentral:rRNA from 1 species